rnacentral:rRNA from 1 species
GCCAGACUCCUACGGGAGGCAGCAGUGGGGGAUAUUGCACAAUGGGGGAAACCCUGAUGCAGCGACGCCGCGUGAGUGAAGAAGUAUUUCGGUAUGUAAAGCUCUAUCAGCAGGGAAGAAAAAAGACGGUACCUGACUAAGAAGCCCCGGCUAACUACGUGCCAGCAGCCGCGGUAAUACGUAGGGGGCAAGCGUUAUCCGGAUUUACUGGGUGUAAAGGGAGCGUAGACGGCAAUACAAGUCGGAAGUGAAAUACCCGGGCUCAACCUGGGAAUUGCUUUGGAAACUGUAUGGCUGGAGUGCUGGAGAGGUAAGCGGAAUUCCUAGUGUAGCGGUGAAAUGCGUAGAUAUUAGGAGGAACACCAGUGGCGAAGGCGGCUUACUGGACAGUAACUGACGUUGAGGCUCGAAAGCGUGGGGAGCAAACAGGAUUAGAUACCCUGGUA